GACGAACGCUGGCGGCGUGCUUAACACAUGCAAGUCGAACGGAAAGGCCUGCUUUCCCUUGUGGAUUGUGGGUACUCGAGUGGCGAACGGGUGAGUAACACGUGAGUGAUCUGCCCCCAACUUGGGUAUAAGCCUGGGAAACUGGGUCUAAUUCCCGAUAGGACUGCAGGGUGGUGCCUGUGGUGGAAAACGAUUUUCUAGUGGUUGGGGAUGAGCUCGCGGCCUAUCAGCUUGUUGGUGGGGUAAUGGCCUACGAAGGCGGCGACGGGUAGCCGGCCUGGGAGGGGGGACGGCCACAUUGGGACAGGGAUACGGCCCCGACGCCUACGGGAGGCAGCAGUGGGGAAUAUAGGGGAGUGGGCGGAAGGCUGAUGCGGCGACGGCGCGUGGAGGAUGACGGCCUUCGGGUUGUAAACUCCUUUUGACCGAGAGGAAGCCGCCUGGUUGGAAGGGUGGUGACGGUAGUGGUAGAAGAAGCACCGGCUAACUACGUG
rnacentral:rRNA from 1 species